rnacentral:lncRNA from 1 species
AGUUUUCAUAUGGAGCUAGAAGAAUAACAGUUUGGCUAGUCAUAUUGAUUUUCUUACUAAAAUUCUGAAUAGAAUUGUUUCAAUCAUUGAAAGGAUGAGUGGUACCUGAAGCCUGUUUUUCUUUUUUUGGUACCAGGGGUCGAACUCUGGACCUUGCUCCAUGAAGCCUGUUUUAAAUUGAACCAUCCAUAGUUCACGCAGAGAUCCCAAGUAUUGGAAGAAUGGUACAGACAGCAGCCUUCCUCAGGUUCGUAGAGGUUGGCUGGCUCUGAGGCUGGGAUGGCAAACACGCAUCGCGGAGGAAAAACAACAUUACAGUCACAAGGCACCAAAGAAGUGAAGAUGAAAGGAAAACUGCAUUUGCUGAAAAUUAAAUCAUACUUGUGUGCCCAGAGCUUCCCAUCAAUUCUUAGGUCAUUCAUUAUAUAGUCUCUAAAUAUUGUAGGUAUAUAAAGCUUUUUCAUUUUACUGCAAAUUUAGGAGUUUAUGAAUGGAGAUAGGAGUAACAAAUGGGAGAACUUUGCUUUUUUUCCUGUUUUUAUACAUUUAAAUGUGAAAAGUAGCAAAAUAUUAUAGUACAUUUGUAUUUUCUCUCUUUCUUUUGGAGGUACUCAGGGCAUUGCACUUGCUAAGCGGUGCAAGGUACUCUACCACCGAGCUACAUCUCCAAAACAAAGUUAGAAAGCACAAAUCUGAGGGAAGCUUAUGAAAUGCAGCAUUAGAAAAUUCAUAGAAUUUGCUUUAGGCAAGUCAAAGGGAAUAUACAAAAAG